UACGGGGGGGGCAAGCGUUGUUCGGAAUUACUGGGCGUAAAGGGCUCGUAGGCGGCCAACUAAGUCAGACGUGAAAUCCCUCGGCUUAACCGGGGAACUGCGUCUGAUACUGGAUGGCUAGAGUGUGGGAGAGGGAUGCGGAAUUCCAGGUGUAGCGGUGAAAUGCGUAGAUAUCUGGAGGAACACCGGUGGCGAAGGCGGCAUCCUGGGCCACGACUGACGCUGAGUGAGCGAAAGCCAGGGGAGCAAACGGG
rnacentral:rRNA from 1 species